GACGAACGCUGGCGGCGUGCCUAAUACAUGCAAGUCGAACGCAGUUGCGAACGGGUGAGUAACGCGUAGGUAACUGCCUCAUAGCGGGGGAUAACUAUGGGAAACGAUAGCUAAUACGCCAUAUUGGGAGAUGGACCUGCGUUGUAUUAGCUAGUUGGUGAGGUAAAGGCUCACCAAGGCGACGAUACAUCGACGACUUGAGAGGGGGGUCGGCCACCAUGGGACUGGGACACGGCCCAAGCUCCUACGGGGGGGAGCAGGAGGGAAUCUUCGGCAAUUGGCGGAAGUCUGACCGAGCAAAGCCGCGUGAGUGAAGAAGGUUUUCGGAUUGUAAAGCUCUUUUGGUAGGGAAGCGUUAACUAACCAGAAAGGGACGGCUAACUACGUGCCAGCCGCCGCGGUAAUAC
rnacentral:rRNA from 1 species